rnacentral:rRNA from 1 species
CGUACACUCCUACGGGAGGCAGCAGUGAGGAAUAUUGGACAAUGGGUGGAAGCCUGAUCCAGCCAUCCCGCGUGCAGGAAGACGGCCCUAUGGGUUGUAAACUGCUUUUAUCUGGGGAUAAACCUACUUACGUGUAAGUAGCUGAAGGUACCAGAAGAAUAAGCACCGGCUAACUCCGUGCCAGCAGCCGCGGUAAUACGGAGGGUGCAAGCGUUAUCCGGAUUUAUUGGGUUUAAAGGGUCCGUAGGCGGACUGAUAAGUCAGUGGUGAAAUCCGACAGCUUAACUGUCGAACUGCCAUUGAUACUGUUAGUCUUGAGUAAGGUUGAAGUGGCUGGAAUAAGUAGUGUAGCGGUGAAAUGCAUAGAUAUUACUUAGAACACCAAUUGCGAAGGCAGGUCACUAAGUCUUAACUGACGCUGAUGGACGAAAGCGUGGGGAGCGAACAGGAUUAGAAACCCGAGUAGUCCCA